ACUCCUGCGGGAGGCAGCAGUGGGGAAUUUUGGACAAUGGGCGAAAGCCUGAUCCAGCAAUGCCGCGUGAGUGAAGAAGGCCUUCGGGUUGUAAAGCUCUUCUGUCAGGGAAGAAACGGUGAAAGCUAAUAUCUUUUGCUAAUGACGGUACCUGAAGAAUAAGCACCGGCUAACUACGUGCCAGCAGCCGCGGUAAUACGUAGGGUGCAAGCGUUAAUCGGAAUUACUGGGCGUAAAGCGUGCGCAGGCGGUUUUGUAAGUCUGAUGUGAAAUCCCCGGGCUCAACCUGGGAAUUGCAUUGGAGACUGCAAGGCUAGAAUCUGGCAGAGGGGGGUAGAAUUCCACGUGUAGCAGUGAAAUGCGUAGAUAUGUGGAGGAACACCGAUGGCGAAGGCAGCCCCCUGGGUCAAGAUUGACGCUCAUGCACGAAAGCGUGGGGAGCAAACAGGAUUAGAAACCCCGGUAGUCCCA
rnacentral:rRNA from 1 species